rnacentral:rRNA from 1 species
CCUACGGGAGACAGCAGUGGGGGAUAUUGCACAAUGGGGGAAACCCUGAUGCAGCGACGCCGCGUGUGGGCAGACGGUCCUCUGGAUUGUAAACCACUGUCCCCAGGGACGAAGAUGACGGUACCUGGGGAGGAAGCUCCGGCUAACUACGUGCCAGCAGCCGCGGUACUACGUAGGGAGCGAGCGUUGUCCGGAAUUACUGGGUGUAAAGGGAGCGUAGGCGGGACUGCAAGUUGGGUGUCAAAUCUACCGGCUCAACCGGUAGCCGCACUCAAAACUGCAGUUCUUGAGUGAAGUAGAGGCAGGCUGAAUUCCUAGUGUAGCGGUGAAAUGCGUAGAUAUUAGGAGGAACACCAGUGGCGAAGGCGGCCUGCUGGGCUUUUACUGACGCUGAGGCUCGAAAGUGUGGGGAGCAAACAGGAUUAGAUACCCGGGUAGUC